UACAGAGGGUGCAAGCGUUAAUCGGAAUUACUGGGCGUAAAGCGCGCGUAGGCGGCUGUCUAAGUCGGAUGUGAAAUCCCCGGGCUCAACCCGGGAACUGCGUCCGAUACUGGCAGGCUUGAAUCCGGGAGAGGAUGUGGAAUUCCAGGUGUAGCGGUGAAAUGCGUAGAUAUCUGGAGGAACACCGGUGGCGAAGGCGGCAUCCUGGACCGGUAUUGACGCUGGAGGCGCGAAAGCCAGGGGAGCAAAACGG
rnacentral:rRNA from 1 species